GGAUUCUGCCUGAUCCUUUUGAGGGC
rnacentral:piRNA from 1 species